GCCAGCGUGACGCAGCGGCCGCGUGCCCGCCUUUUGAUCGGGACGAGGUGGGUUCGACUCCCACCGCUGGCACCA
rnacentral:tRNA from 1 species